UACGUAGGGUGCAAGCGUUGUUCGGAAUCAUUGGGCGUAAAGCGCGCGUAGGCUGUUAAUUAAGUCGGGUGUGAAAUCCCUGGGCUCAACCGAGGAAGUGCAUCCGAAACUAAUUAGCUAGAAGACGGUAGAGGAAGGUGGAAUUCCUAGUGUAGAGGUGAAAUUCGUAGAUAUUAGGAGGAAUACCGGUGGCGAAGGCGGCCUUCUGGGCCGUUCUUGACGCUGAGGCGCGAAAGCGUGGGUAGCAAACAGG
rnacentral:rRNA from 1 species